rnacentral:rRNA from 1 species
UACGAAGGGGGCCAGCGUUGUUCGGAAUUACUGGGCGUAAAGCGCACGUAGGCGGACAUUUAAGUCAGGGGUGAAAUCCCAGAGCUCAACUCUGGAACUGCCUUUGAUACUGGGUGUCUUGAGUAUGGAAGAGGUGAGUGGAAUUCCGAGUGUAGAGGUGAAAUUCGUAGAUAUUCGGAGGAACACCAGUGGCGAAGGCGGCUCACUGGUCCAUUACUGACGCUGAGGUGCGAAAGCGUGGGGAGCAAACAGG